UAUGGUCAUAUCACAUUGAAACACAGGUUACAGUACAAUCACCAAAGUUAAGCAAUUUCAUGCCUGGUUAGUACCUAGAUGGGUGACUGCUUGGGAAUAAUAGGUACUGUAAG